CAGCACGGGAGCAAUCCUGGUGGCGAGUGGCNCACGGGUGCGUAACGCGUAUGCAAUCUACCUAUAACUGGGGAAUAGCCUUCCGAAAGGAAGAUUAACACCGCAUAAUAUCACGAAACGGCAUCGCUUUGUGAUCAAAACUCCGGUGGUUAUAGAUGAGCAUGCGUGACAUUAGCUAGUUGGUGAGGUAACGGCCCACCAAGGCUACGAUGUCUAGGGGGUCUGAGAGGAUGACCCCCCACACUGGUACUGAGACACGGACCAGACUCCUACGGGAGGCAGCAGUAAGGAAUAUUGGACAAUGGGCGCAAGCCUGAUCCAGCCAUGCCGCGUGCAGGAUGAAGGUGCUCUGCAUUGUAAACUGCUUUUGUUUGGGAAUAAACCCUUCUACGUGUAGAGGGCUGAAUGUACCAAAAGAAUAAGGGACGGCUAACUUCGUGCCAGCAGCCGCGGUAAU
rnacentral:rRNA from 1 species